UUAUGGCCAUAGCACGUUGAAACACCAGUUUUUGUACAAUCACCAAAGUUAAGCAACAUCAAGCCUGGUCAGUACCUAGAUGGGUGACCACUUGGGAAUACCAAAUGCUGUAAG
rnacentral:rRNA from 1 species